AUUGAACGCUGGCGGCAGGCUUAACACAUGCAAGUCGAGCGGGGGAGGUUGCUUCGGUAACUGACCUAGCGGCGGACGGGUGAGUAAUGCUUAGGAAUCUGCCUAUUAGUGGGGGACAACAUCUCGAAAGGGAUGCUAAUACCGCAUACGUCCUACGGGAGAAAGCAGGGGACCUUCGGGCCUUGCGCUAAUAGGUGAGCCUAAGUCGGAUUAGCUAGUUGGUGGGGUAAAGGCCUACCAAGGCGACGAUCUGUAGCGGGUCUGAGAGGAUGAUCCGCCACACUGGGACUGAGACACGGCCCAGACUCCUACGGGAGGCAGCAGUGGGGAAUAUUGGACAAUGGGGGGAACCCUGAUCCAGCCAUGCCGCGUGUGUGAAGAAGGCCUUUUGGUUGUAAAGCACUUUAAGCGAGGAGGAGGCUACUGGUAUUAAUACUACCGGAUAGUGGACGUUACUCGCAGAAUGAGCACCGGCUAACUCUGUGCCAGCCGCCGCGGUAACAC
rnacentral:rRNA from 1 species